ACAAAAGCCCUCAUCCCAUUUCCCUUCCUGCGCCGACUCCCUCUCUCUGCCGUUUCCUCUCCACUCCCUCUCGCUCUCCCUCCAUCUCCCUCUCGCCCGCUCUCAUUCUCCCUCUCCCUCUCGCGCGCUCUCCCUUUCCCUCUCCCUCUCCGCUCGCUCUCCACUCACUCUCACUCUCCCUAUUUAUCUCUCUCAGAUAUUCUUUUCAAGCAUUAAGGUUUUAAUUUAUUUUUCUCUUCUUUCUUGAAGCUGUUCAAGUGAUAUGCAGUGAUUGGGUGAAUCGCUCUUGUAAAUUGCAGAAAAGACUCUCAACUCUACAUCUAUCAGUAAGAUCUAUGUGCUUUUACAUUGGAGCGAUAGUGAGCCAUUCAAUCUCUUAUAUUUCAAAUCCAAAACCUCCCGAUUGCAUGUUUGGACGUGGGUUAAUAAAUAUGUAUAUAAGGUGUUGGUAUUUGGCACAUGCCUGCAAGCUAUUUGAUAGUAUGCCAGACAGGAACAUUGUCUCUUUAACUGCAUUUUUUUAUUUCUAUUUUUUAAAUAUAAUCUUCCUACUUGCGAUUGGGUUUUAAGAGGUCUUAGUUUGGAUAUUUGUGGUAUUAAGGGCAUUUGUUUUUCUUUUUUCCAUGGGAAAUUGUAGAUGACUGGAGUGCCCUGAGUUUGAACCAUUGCUAUUUUCCAAUAAAUUUCUACCAUGAGUGUAGUUAAUUGACCAAAUUAGUCCAACCUUUGGUUUGAUUUGAGUUAUGAUUCUAUGCUGCAUUUACAAUUUAUUAGAUCCUGUAUAUCAACCAUCAUACUCUGCCAGAAUAUAAAAAGUUUUCCUAUAGUAUCAUUUUAACUGCCACAAAAUAGCCCUUUAUUUCAUAGAAAACAGUAUACAAAACACCGAUCAAAUAAAUAGUAGCAUCUACUGAAAUAUUCCAAUCUCUUUAUGAGUUUCAUGGGCUGGGCAUGUGUUAGCCAUUAACAUACAUAAUUUAUUGAGGCCCUAGCGUGGCUUAGGGGAAAAAAUCAUUUCUUUCAGUUUCCAAUAUAUUUGGCAUGCAUGUCUGUGCGUUUACAUACAUGAGUGUGUAGACACAUGCAUUCAUGCAUAUAUACAUAUGUGCAUAUGUAUGUAUAGGUAAUACUUGUAGUUGUCAUGUGUAUUUCACCAUCAUCAUUUUCUAAACUAUGUAUUUCACUUUCUAAAAUAUUGGCCAUUUAGUUAUGCUUGAUAUCAACAACACUUCCAAAUCUUUGGGAUUCUCUUUUGUGGCCUAGAUCAUCCAAAUUAUUGCACGGACCCUAAGCCCAAAUCAUGUCCAUCGAUGUUCCAAACCAUUCAUAUGAAUAGCUUAUUCUUAGUGAUUGAAACACGUUCAUAUGGUUUGGGCUAUUUUCAUUGAUUCAAGCCUAGUGGUAACAUCCAUCAUUCAUCUCAUUUGGCCUAUGGUUAGUGAUCCAAACCCUUCAUAUGUUGGGGCCAUUUUCAUUUGUUCAAGUCCCCUAUGUAGUGAUUCAUUGUGUUGAUGAUAUACUUGCACUGAUUUUCAUUGGUUCUACUGUGUUAACCAUCUGAUUAACGGCCAUCAAUUGGCUGGCUAAAUGAAAAACAGUCUGGGAUCCAAAUUCAGUGGUUGAGAUUGGAUAGUUAAGACUGUUCAGUCAAUGUGGUUGUUGGACUAUGAUCCAUCCACGGUGGGGCCCACAAUUGGGGCACUCUGGAUAGAAUGCAUUUGUGCCAUGGGUAAGGUGGACGAGCCAUUGCUGUUGGACAGAACUACGCUUCGUUCGUCAUCAUCCUCCAUGGCUUGACCCAUCCACCUCCACAUGGCAUAAAUGUAUAUAUGGAGAUUCUUACAUGCAACCUGAACCAUCCAAAUCAUGAGGACUCUUUUAAAUCCUGGAUUUCAAAUCCUCAAAAGGGCCUCUUUUAAAAUUCAAGAGAAAAGGAGUGCAGAAAAUCCUGAAUCUUCAAUCCUCUUCAACUGUCAUCUUUGAAGAUUAUCGGUUGGUUCUUGUUUUAGUGUUCUUUUACAGUUUUAGUGCUCUUAUCUAUGAGCUGGAUUUCAUAAUGCAUUGAAGAUUAUUGGCUGGUUCUUGUUUUUCUUUUUACAGUUUUAGUGCUCUUUUACACAAUAAAACAAUGUUGGUCUUCUUGUGAGUAAAUCUCCAUAUCCUUAUAAAUUUUUUGUGUUGGUUAUUAGGUCUCACAAUUUGUCAUUCACGUAUAAGGCUUGCAUAUUAUGGAUAUAGUCGUCAAUUUCUGCAGGACCAUAGAAUGGAAGAUUAUUGUGGCAUGACUUGAAGAAAGGCGAUUUCUAUCAUCUAAUGGCAACUCCAAAGUCCUUUCACUUAUCAUCUAAGUCUUGUCAUCCAACAAUAUGAUUCAAGCAUUUGAAAUGAUGGUAAUUGCUGUGGUAGUGAACAACCUCAUAUGUUUGUCUUUUUAGCCUUCAGACCUUUACUGCAUGUCUGUCUUCAAUUAGUUGGGUUUCCGAUGGUGCUGUGUAGCUUAUAAUUUUCUACUAUCAUUUCAAAUUAUCUGCCAUAGUGUUCUUGCACCUGCAAGUUAUGACAAAAAUCUGUAUUGCAUGUGGUCGUAUUACUGAAGAAGUCUUCCAAGUCAAAGCCUAAACAAUUUGGGAUAUAAGAUUUUCCGCUUUGUUAUGAAAAUGUUGUGCAUUAGUGAUGUAUAAUUUCCAUUAUUGGUUGGUAUUAACUAGAUGGUUGUUUAUUAGUUUGACAGGUUUCCUUUGUUUGUGCAGCUAUGACUUAAAUAGUACAUAACCAUCCCAUUUUAUAGGCUAUUUGUUGGAUGAUUAGAAUAUUUGAUUUGUAUGUUUUUGAAGUGUGGUCCAUUGUAGCGAAAUGACACACUAUACAGAUGGAGUACAAAAGCCUUGUGAGCAUACAGGUUUGGAUGUUAAAUCAUUAUUUGGAUGCUCAUUUCAGGUUUUGGUUUGUAUCAGCAUAUAGGUUUGAACUGAUUGUUUUGGUUGUUCAUUAUAGAUUUCACAUUUACAUAUGUAUAAUGAAUUUUUUUAAAUUUUUGCUACUCAUUUUAGGUUACGGUUUGUAACAUCUUACAUGUUUGAGCUCGGACGAUAAUUGUUUAUUUUGCCUACUCAUUUUAGGUUUUGGUUUACAACAACUUAAAGAUUUAGCUUAAUCAUCAUAGGUCCCAGGGCAGAAUUCAUUAGUUGUGGCCGCGAGCAUGUUAUAAAGUUUAAGUGGUCUAGUAUGGAAGU